GCAGGUAUAGUAUAAAGGUUAGUACAAUAGACUUCCAAUCUUUUGGUGAGAGUUCGAUUCUCUCUAUCUGCU
rnacentral:tRNA from 1 species